GAGUUAGAUCCAACAGUGAUUUCUAGAAGGCUCGUUCCAAGAGAUUCGGUUUAUGAUCGAUAUUUUAGGAGGUGAUUCGGAUUGUCGAGAGAAGUACUUAGAUUUUGAUGAGCCAAAGUGGGUUGGACGAGCCUAGAAUGAAGAGCCUAGAAGGAAAGUUUAUUUACGUUCUGCUUUGUAACACUCACACCUCAGAUUCAGGGUCAGGUGCUUAAAAUCCACCGACGCCGGGUCUGGGGUGUGACAGGAUCUUAGAAGGCUCGGACAUUCAUAAGUUCCUAAAGAAAUUGAAAAUUAAACUAAGUCAGUAAACUAUACAAUAAACGAAAUACAAGUAAAUAUUUAUACAAGUAUAAGGUAAAGUUUGUCACACAAGAAACACAACUAUAUUUGUAUAAGUAUAAAAAGCAUAUGAUGCCAUGUAUAAGUGUACAAUGAAAAUUGUACCAAGUAUAGAGUGUAUGUAUAAAAUGUGUUUAUAUAUAUAUUUUUUAGGGU
rnacentral:lncRNA from 1 species